rnacentral:lncRNA from 9 species
GGAGUUUAUUUCAAGUCAGAAGGCUAUGAAGCAGCUGAACAAGGUGCUGACCCAAGCUCUGCUGGCCAGGAACGGGGAGCUGGGGGAAGGACUGUCCUAGCCCUGGGUAGUUCCAGGGACUCAAGCCACUCCGUGCUUGGCCCAGGCCCCACAUUAGCUUGGGCCGCUGGCACGAGCCCCAGCUCCUUUUGUGUUCUCCCGGGAAGCCCGCCUCUACUCACCCGGGCUGCACGCGGAUUCCGGCCGCCAGCGGCAGCCCGCUGCCCCAUCCCACGAACACUGCGGCGCCCCCAGAGUGUGCAAUGCGGAGCCCCGCCAGCGCGCGGCCAGAGCCGGGGAGUGCGAGGAGGGAGAGAGGGAGGGAGGGAAAGAGGGAGGGAACGCGGAGGGGAGGGACAGGGCGGCGGGGGGCGCCCGCGCCACUCCCACUCGCGCCGGGCUCUCGCUGCAGCCCGCAGCUGCUGCCCGCCUGCUCGGCCUCGCCGGUCGUGGGACCAAUCAGCGCGCGCGGGGAGAGCCGAUCUCUCCCCAGGCGAGCUCAUUGGCUCGGUGCGCACAAUCCAACUCCGAGGGCGUGGGCCUGAGCGCCAAGUGUGCAAACUCCUGCAGGCGAGAGCUGACUGCCGGGCGCAGGUGGGUUGCCUGGCUCCACGCUGCGACCGGCAGGGCGAGUGGCCGAGUUCCGCGGACGGAACCGGGAGGAUGUGAGACCUGUCUUUGAAGUCUGCUCGCGGUGAGCGUUCAAAAUCAGCAGUGUUUGCUCUGGUUGCACUGACCCUUUCCAGUGAGCGACCCCCUGCGCCGCUCGCUUCCUUGGCCAGUAGCUGAGUAAAGGAAAGCCUG